GGAGGGAUGGCCGAGUGGUUUAAGGCGACGGUCUUGAAAACCGUUGGCCCGCAAGGGCUCGUGGGUUCGAAUCCUACUCCCUCCG
rnacentral:tRNA from 1 species